CCUACGGGAGGCAGCAGUAGGGAAUAUUGGGCAAUGGAGGCAACUCUGACCCAGCCAUGCCGCGUGAACGAAGAAGGCGCUCUGCGUCGUAAAGUUCUUUUAGAAGGGGCGAAAAUGCGGAAUUUAUUCUGUACUGACGGUACCUUCGGAAUAAGCACCGGCUAACUCCGUGCCAGCAGCCGCGGUAAUACGGAGGGUGCGAGCGUUAUCCGGAAUCACUGGGUUUAAAGGGUGCGUAGGCGGGGAGAUAAGUCAGAGGUGAAAGCUCAUCGCUCGACGAUGGAAUUGCCUUUGAUACUGUUUUUCUUGAAAUAUGUUGAGGUUGGCGGAAUGAGACAUGUAGCGGUGAAAUGCAUAGAUAUGUCUUAGAACACCGAUUGCGAAGGCAGCUGACUGGACAUUAUUUGACGCUGAGGCACGAAAGCGUGGGGAUCAAACAGGAUUAGAUACCCUGGUAGUCCACGCCCUAAACGAUGUUUACUUGCUGUUUGUCUUUCGGGAUGNGUGNGAGACGAAGAGANAAGUAACGACCGUAGGAGGUACGCCGCGAGGUAGGAACGUACGAAAGUAGAAGUUAGUACGGCGUGAGACGUAGACCGACGGACGACGACGAGGGAGGAGG
rnacentral:rRNA from 1 species